UCACUGAAGGAUGGACCCGCGGCGUAUUAGCCAGUUGGUGGGGUAACGGCCUACCANAGCGAUGAUACGUAGCCGACCUGAGAGGGUAAUCGGCCACAUUGGGACUGAGACACGGCCCAAACUCCUACGGGAGGCAGCAGUAGGGAAUCUUCCACAAUGGACGCAAGUCUGAUGGAGCAACGCCGCGUGAGUGAAGAAGGCUUUCGGGUCGUAAAACUCUGUUAUUGAAGAAGAACGUGCGUGACAGUAACUGGUCAUGCAGUGACGGUAUUCAAUCAGAAAGUCACGGCUAACUACGUGCCAGCAGCCGCGGUAAUACGUAGGUGGCAAGCGUUGUCCGGAUUUAUUGGGCGUAAAGCGAGUGCAGGCGGUCUUUUAAGUCUGAUGUGAAAGCCUUCGGCUUAACCGAAGAAGGGCAUCGGAAACUGGGAGACUUGAGUGCAGAAGAGGAGAGUGGAACUCCAUGCGUAGCGGUGAAAUGCGUAGAUAU
rnacentral:rRNA from 1 species